rnacentral:misc_RNA from 1 species
UUUCCGUAGGUGAACCUGCGGAAGGAUCAUUAGAGAAUGGAGCGAGUGCCUCACGGCAUGAGCUUUUAUACAUCUAAAACACCUGUGCACCUUUUUGCCCUCGGGCAACUUAUUACAAACAUAUAACAGUCCUGAAUGUAAUGUACUUUGUAACAAAACACAACUUUCAACAACGGAUCUCUUGGCUCUCGCAUCGAUGAAGAACGCAGC